rnacentral:rRNA from 1 species
AAUGAACGUUGGCGGCGUGCUUAACACAUGCAAGUCGAGCGAGAAAACUCCUUCGGGAGUUAGUACAGCGGCGGACGGGUGAGGAACGCGUAAGAAUCUACCCUUCAGUGAAGAAUACCCUUGAGAAAUCGAGGAUAAUACUGCAUAUUCCCUACGGGCGAAAGGUAGGCUUUAAUUGCUGCCGCCUGAAGGAUGAGCUUGCGUACUAUUAGCUAGUUGGUAGGGUAAUGGCCUACCAAGGCGACGAUCGGUAGCUGGUCUGAGAGGACGACCAGCCACACUGGGACGUGAGACACGGCCCACGACUCCUACGGGAGGCAGCAGUGGGGAAGUAUUGGUACAAUGGGCGCAAGACCUGAUCCAGCGAUGCCGCGUGUGUGAAGAA